UACGUAGGUGGCAAGCGUUAUCCGGAUUUACUGGGUGUAAAGGGCGUGUAGGCGGUUUUGCAAGUCAGAUGUGAAAUCUCCGGGCUUAACCCGGAAACUGCAUCUGAAACUGCAGAACUUGAGUACUGGAGAGGAUAGUGGAAUUCCUAGUGUAGCGGUAAAAUGCGUAGAUAUCGGAAGGAACACCAGUGGCGAAGGCGACUUCCUGGCCCAUUACUGACACUGAGGUACGAAAGCGUGGGGAGCAAACAGGAUUAGAUACCCUGGUAGUCCCU
rnacentral:rRNA from 1 species